rnacentral:lncRNA from 1 species
UAAGAAGCGGAUUGAUAAAGCUUCAGAUAACACCAGAGAAAGAUAUAAUUUAAGAAGAAGGGAUGUUCAUUUUAAGGAAAAUGAUUUAGUUUGGAAAAAGAACUAUGUUCUUUCUGAUAAAGCUAAUUAUUUUACAUCUAAGUUUGCUGAUAGAUUUGUUGGACCUUUUAGAGUAAAGCGUAAGGUUGGUUAUUGUACAUAUGAAUUAAUAAAUGAUAAUGGUAAGUCUAUUGGUCACUGGCAUGUGAAAGACUUGAAACCUCACCCACAGAACUCUGAUAGCCACGUUGAAUCGGAUUCUGAUGUAGAUAGUGUAACAUAGUAUGUAUUUUUAACAAGUUUCUUUGGGAUUCAAUUCAAAGAAACUUAAUUUUCUUUCCGGAAGGAAAGGUGGAGUUAUUACGGUUGAAAAUUUAGUAGUAACGUUUGUUGAGUUUUGGUUGUUUAUAACCGAUUAUUUUGUCCUUGGAGGAUGUAUAAUUUGUAUGUUUGGAUGUAUAUGCUUUUUGUGUGAGUCAGUGAGAGAAGAUUUUUGUUGUAGAGUUUUUUGUUUUGAACGCCUUGUUAGCAAAUCAACAACGUUCAUUCUUUUCAAUAAACAUUUUUGAGAAAGCACUUGAAGCCUGGUCGGCGAUUUGGAUUCCCAGUUUUUUUUAAUUGAAAUGGUACUUUUUCAAUCCUUUGGUGGGAUGUACUGGGAAUUCUCUUAUUGAGGUAUCCGUUGGUGUGCUGGAAAUUUGGGGCACGUAAAGAUUUGUCUUGGAAAAUCCUCUAGAGAUUAAUUCGAUGUUUAUUAAUGGCCAGGCUGAGAGUCGUGUAAUAGACCCUUUUGUAUGUUAAAGGGUGUUCCGGUAGUACAAAAUUGUAUGUAUUUAUCGAUCCUGAGGCUUUAAAGAAGUAAUAGAAGUACAUUUAUUUACCAGAUUUACAUUUAUUCAGUAUAUUGGAAAUAAUAAAUUUGGCAGAUUUAUUUAGAAGUUCGAUAUUUGACGUGACAUUUUGACAAAAUUUAAGGAAGAUUGCAGUGUGUUUAUCCAGGCAAAUGAUUUUUUUUAUUGAAGGAAAUAAGGACGGUAAUAGAUUUUAUUUUAUUUUAUGGGAGAAAACAAGAAAGAACAAGGUACAAUUUAGAUUGGGUUAAGGGGUCUAAAAAGGGGACUAAAAUACAAUGAUUUUUAUAUUUAUGUGAAGGAAACAGCUGGUUCUGGUUUAUUUUUUUUAAUUAAUUACUUACUUUUGUUCUUAUAAACUAUUGAAAUCAAAAUUAAUAUUUGUAUGUAAAAAGGGACUUAAAAUUUUGUUGACAUUAUAUUCUCUAUAGUUA